rnacentral:lncRNA from 1 species
AACCGCCUGGCAGCGCUACCACUGCGGGCUCCGUCAGCGCGGUGAUUGUGAAUCGUCGAUCCUCACGUAUAGUAUGCAUCCUAUUCGUAACCAGGCGCUGGUAUCGCUUGCGGAUAGAUCCCGAACUACAAAAUCUUUUAUCGCUUUCACAAACCACUUUUCGACGAUUCCGCCAUAUGCGUUCGGCCUCCUUACCUCUAGUCUCCAUGCUCCAUGCUUAGAACAGUGCAAGUAGUGAUGGCGAUGGUGAGGCUGUUCUUGCGUUUGUCAAAACCAAGCAUGGGAUAUCUGAUCGCAUCGAAGCUUUGGUUAAAUCUUGAGAUAUUGGAAGGAUUAACUUGAUGUUGACAAGUUCCGCAAAAAGUUAUGCGUCUUCUUGAGAUUCCAGUUAUAAGAUGUGGUAAAUUACCACAUGUUCUACCCAGAAAAUGAUCUGUUUUGCGCAUACGCCAAAAAAGAUAGGUUGAUUGAUAGAAUAGAUGCUCCAGUGGACAAUCUGCAUACUACCAACGCAAUGGUGCGUCUAAAAGUUUGAAGGUGUACAUUUUUGUUUGAUAUUAUGAUCAAGAAUGAAACUGAAUAAGCUCAUUUCCUAAACUUCCUAUACCUGCUAAUGCUAUGUGAAUAUGUUAAUGUUAAUAAUUGAGCUGCGAAUAUGCCUUAUUGUUAAUUAAAACUUCUGAAGUAAUCUGUACUACUUUUGAAUAUGUACGAAAAUAGAAGACAAUUGAAGGAAUACUUCUAAUUUUAUUUAUUUCAAUCUACCUUACUUCAAAUGCUGAUUAUAUUUGUUAAAAUAACUAUCAUGUGUUUCGAUAUGUAUACCCCAUUUAGGACAAUCUACACAUCAUACCAAGUUCUACAAUUUGAUACAUUUCGUAUUGUCCAUUUUCUUAGACACAUUCACGUAAUAUAAUUUUCUCUAAUAAAUCAACAUCUUUUCAACCUACCAAAAUAUCACAGUAUCAGUUAAAUUCAUUUACGAUUUUCAUGAAGGUGAAACUAUCGUUAAUCAUUAGUCAACCACAUAGGCAAGAUAAUGGAGUCUUACAGUUCGGUAAUUUUAUUUAAUUAUUAGCAAAGUUUAAUACCGUCGUUGCGGGGCGGCGACAGGUACUGAUAGGCACAAAACAAAUCUGUGCUAGAUAUAGAUUCGUCACUACCAAAAAUGUUUCCUACAUUGCUAAUAAUUUUGUGAAAACAUGUCCUGUUAAUUACAAUGAUCUAUAAAACAAAGCAUUAAGGUAAUUUUUGAAGAAACAAUGCUAUAUUUAUUUAAAUAAUAAAUACACCUGAUCAAGUAUCGGCGCGUUUUCGAUACUAAUUACUUAAUCUAGUGUACGUAUAAAUACAAAAAAAAUUUAUAUGCAUUUUAAAGAAGAUUGUGUACAAAAUACAAACACGUUUGCUCUAAACAGUGUAUAAAAUUGGGCUUGUAGAUGUAAAUACAAGAUCAUAUGUGUAUGUGUGCGCGUGUGUAUGCAUGUGUAUAUAUACACACACACACACACGUCACUUACGGUAAUUGUGCCAGCUGUUAUAUACCUAUGUAUAAAUGUAUAUACAUGUGUGUAUAUAUAUAUAUAUAUAUGUAUGUAUGUAUAUGUUAACGGUCUUGCAAUGAAAAAGUGCAUAAUUCUCGAUCACUGGGGUAACUCAAUUUAAACCUUUACCUUUAUCACAACAAAAAAAAUUAGACAAUUUUAUUCUUGUCUGUUUACAUUAUUUUUGUAUGUUUCGAAUUAUCUACGCAUAUUUCUUUUACACAUAAGAGUCAUCCUCCCCGCCUUCCUCAAUACAAUAAUUGUGCCAGUGGUAGAAUUUUGUGCGAAAAUAAUUUGAUGCGCUAACAUUUAUAAAAUAUAAAAGGUUGACAAAUAUUUCAUUACAAAUACUUCAACAUCAUCAGAUCUAUUAACAUCCUUAACAUUUUUAGAAUAUUAUAAUAUGUUACCGGUGAUACUAAGAAAGUAUAAAAUGCUUUAUGUCUGGUCAAAUAUACAUUUACAAAUCCAACGCAUUUUUUUCAAAAACUUUUUCUCAGUAUCGUUUGAAAUCAGAACAUUGUGUUCAAUUUAGAGUAUUAAUUUCACUUGAUUGAACGCAGCUGUUAUCACACAGCGCACAAACCAACUUCAAAAAAUCAACAAAAAAAAGAAGAAUUACACAAAAUUUACUGCCGUGACGUGGAAUGGAAAUGGGGAAAAAGAAA